rnacentral:rRNA from 1 species
AAAAUAUCUAUCCUCCCUCUAAGCCUAGGUAGAAAACUAAGUUAUAAGACAAGGAUGAACACGAUAUAUGGUACUUUUUAAAAUCUGGUUCCCAAAGAAAUAAAACAUUUUAAAAAGAAUUUUAAAAUAAUGUAUUUAGCUUAUGCUGAGUAUAUAUUAGUGAGCAACUAACUUAAAAAUAUUUAAGGAAUAAUAGUCCCCUCUGUUAUAAUAAAUUACUAUUGACCUAAUUUAUUUAUUAAGCUUCUCUUCUUAUUUGGGUAAUUAAUUCUAAGAAUUAGAACUUGUUUACACUAGUAAAUAUACUUUUAUUAUUUCCUUACUUAAAUAAGUUUUAUCGAUUUUAAAUUAAAUAUAAACUAAAUAACUUGAGAUUCUCCAAACUGUUUAACAAAGACAUAGUAAGACUGUGUCUUAUGUAUCUGCCCAAUGAAUAAUUUUUUAUGGCUUUAAAGUAGCGCAAUAAUUAGUUUAUUAAUUGUAAACCUGUAUGAAGCUAGCAUUGGUUAAUCAUGUUUAUUCUUAUCUGUUGAAUCUUAGUUAUCAGUACAAACGCUGAUAUGCCCCCCGAAGACGAUAAGACCCUAAGACCUUCACCUUGUUUGGCUGGGAUAGCCUACUUAAUAUAAUAAAGAAACCUUAAUUAUUACGAACCAAUUAUUUUGCUAUACAUAGGUACCUUAGGGAUAACAGCGCGUAAUACUUUUAGAGCUCUUAUUUAAAAGAUAUUCGUGACCUCGAUGUUGAAUUAAGUAAUAUAGUGCUGCAGAAGGUGCUAUUUUAAGUCUGUUCGACU